rnacentral:rRNA from 1 species
AACGUAGGACGCAAGCGUUAUCCGGAAUUACUGGGCGUAAAGGGCUCGUAGGCGGCCAACUAAGUCGGAUGUGAAAUCCCCAGGCUUAACCUGGGAACUGCAUCCGAUACUGGAUGGCUUGAAUCCGGGAGAGGGAUGCAGAAUUCCAGGUGUAGCGGUGAAAUGCGUAGAUAUCUGGAGGAAUACCGGUGGCGAAGGCGGCAUCCUGGACCGGCAUUGACGCUGAUGAGCGAAAGCUAGGGGAGCAAACGGGG